rnacentral:rRNA from 1 species
CCGUUGCCGGCGACCGGCGCACGGGUGGAGUAACACGUAUGCAACCUGCCCGUGGCAGGGGGAUAAGCGGGGGAAACCCCGUCUAAUACCGCGUAACGCGGCCUUGGGGCAUCCCAAGGCCGCCAAAGGGAGCAAUCCCGGCCACGGAUGGGCAUGCGGCGCAUUAGCUAGUCGGCGGGGUAACGGCCCACCGAGGCGACGAUGCGUAGGGGUUCUGAGAGGAAGGUCCCCCACACUGGUACUGAGACACGGACCAGACUCCUACGGGAGGCAGCAG